rnacentral:rRNA from 1 species
UGCGUAGGCGGCUUGUCAAGCCAGAGGUGAAAGGCAUUGGCUCAACCAAUGUAAGCCUUUGGAACUGACGAACUUGAGUACAGGAGAGGUAAGUGGAAUUCCUAGUGUAGAGGUGAAAUUCGCAGAUAUUAGGAGGAACACCAGUGGCGAAGGCGACUUACUGGACUGUAACUGACGCUGAGGCACGAAAGCGUGGGUAGCGAACA